rnacentral:rRNA from 1 species
CGGUUGAUCCUGCCGGAGGAUGCUGCUAUUAGGAUUCGAUUAAGCCAUGUGAGUCUCUGGUCCUCGAGGNCCAGGGCGAACUGCUGAGUAACAUGUAGUUAAUCUGCCCNUGAGUUCGGGAUAAUCUCGGGAAACUGAGGAUAAUACNGGAUAGGGGAUUUGGUCUGGAAUGAUAUUUCCCUUAAAGCUUCGGCGCUCAAGGAUGAGACUGCACUGGAUUAGGUUGAUGUUAGGGUAAAGUCCUACCAUGCCUAUAAUCCAUAGGGGCCGUGAGAGCGGGAGCCCCCAGACGGGUUCUGAGAUACUAACCCGGGUCCUACGGGACGCAGCAGGCGCGAAACCUCUACAAUGCACGCAAGUGUGAUAGGGGAAUCCUAAGUGCUGGCACUAAGUGUCAGCUUUUCUUGAGUCUAAAUCGCUUGAGGAAUAAGUGGUGGGUAAGACCGCUGCCAGCCGCCGCGGUAAUAGCGGCGCCACGAGUGGCAUCCAUUUAUAUUGGGUUUAAAGCAUCCGUAGCCGGCCUGAUUAGUCUACUGUGAAAUCCUGCAGAAAACUGCAGGGCGUGCGGUGGAAACUGUUAGGCUUGGAACCAGAAGAGGUCAGAGGUACUCCUAAGGUAGCGGUAAAAUGCUGUAAUCUUAGGGGGACCACCUGUGGCGAAGGCGUCUGACUGGGAUGGAUUCGACGGUGAGGGAUGAAAGCUAGGGGAGCGACCCGGAUUAGAUACCCGGUUAGUCCUAGCUGUAAACGAUGCUCACUUGGUAUUGGGAAUCUUUCGCGGAUUUCCAGUGCCGAAGGGAAACCGUUAAGUGAGCCACCUGGGGAGUACGGUCGCAAGGCUGAAACUUAAAGGAAUUGGCGGGGGAGCAC